rnacentral:tRNA from 1 species
AUCUUCGUGGUGUAACGGUAACACACUCGGCGCGUAUUCGAGAGGUCCAGGUUCAAGUCCCGGCGAUGGCC